rnacentral:rRNA from 1 species
UUAAGCGACUAAGCGUACACGGUGGAUGCCCUGGCAGUCAGAGGCGAUGAAGGACGUGCUAAUCUGCGAUAAGCGUCGGUAAGGUGAUAUGAACCGUUAUAACCGGCGAUUUCCGAAUGGGGAAACCUAGUGUGAUUCGUCACACUAUCAUUAACUGAAUCCAUAGGUUAAUGAGGCGAACCGGGGGAACUGAAACAUCUAAGUACCCCGAGGAAAAGAAAUCAACCGAGAUUCCCCCAGUAGCGGCGAGCGAACGGGGAGCAGCCCAGAGCCUGAAUCAGUGUGUGUGUUAGUGGAAGCGUCUGGAAAGGCGCGCGAUACAGGGUGACAGCCCCGUACACAAAAAUGCACAUACUGUGAGCUCGAUGAGUAGGGCGGGACACGUGGUAUCCUGUCUGAAUAUGGGGGGGACCAUCCUCCAAGGCUAAAUACUCCUGACUGACCGAUAGUGAACCAGUACCGUGAGGGAAAGGCGAAAAGAACCCCGGCGAGGGGAGUGAAAAAGAACCUGAAACCGUGUACGUACAAGCAGUGGGAGCACAGAGCAAUCUGUGUGACUGCGUACCUUUUGUAUAAUGGGUCAGCGACUUAUAUUCUGUAGCAAGGUUAACCGAAUAGGGGAGCCGAAGGGAAACCGAGUCUUAACUGGGCGUUAAGUUGCAGGGUAUAGACCCGAAACCCGGUGAUCUAGCCAUGGGCAGGUUGAAGGUUGGGUAACACUAACUGGAGGACCGAACCGACUAAUGUUGAAAAAUUAGCGGAUGACUUGUGGCUGGGGGUGAAAGGCCAAUCAAACCGGGAGAUAGCUGGUUCUCCCCGAAAGCUAUUUAGGUAGCGCCUCGUGAAUUCAUCUCCGGGGGUAGAGCACUGUUUCGGCAAGGGGGUCAUCCCGACUUACCAACCCGAUGCAAACUGCGAAUACCGGAGAAUGUUAUCACGGGAGACACACGGCGGGUGCUAACGUCCGUCGUGAAGAGGGAAACAACCCAGACCGCCAGCUAAGGUCCCAAAGUCAUGGUUAAGUGGGAAACGAUGUGGGAAGGCCCAGACAGCCAGGAUGUUGGCUUAGAAGCAGCCAUCAUUUAAAGAAAGCGUAAUAGCUCACUGGUCGAGUCGGCCUGCGCGGAAGAUGUAACGGGGCUAAACCAUGCACCGAAGCUGCGGCAGCGACACUGUGUGUUGUUGGGUAGGGGAGCGUUCUGUAAGCCUGUGAAGGUGUGCUGUGAGGUAUGCUGGAGGUAUCAGAAGUGCGAAUGCUGACAUAAGUAACGAUAAAGCGGGUGAAAAGCCCGCUCGCCGGAAGACCAAGGGUUCCUGUCCAACGUUAAUCGGGGCAGGGUGAGUCGACCCCUAAGGCGAGGCCGAAAGGCGUAGUCGAUGGGAAACAGGUUAAUAUUCCUGUACUUGGUGUUACUGCGAAGGGGGGACGGAGAAGGCUAUGUUGGCCGGGCGACGGUUGUCCCGGUUUAAGCGUGUAGGCUGGUUUUCCAGGCAAAUCCGGAAAAUCAAGGCUGAGGCGUGAUGACGAGGCACUACGGUGCUGAAGCAACAAAUGCCCUGCUUCCAGGAAAAGCCUCUAAGCAUCAGGUAACAUCAAAUCGUACCCCAAACCGACACAGGUGGUCAGGUAGAGAAUACCAAGGCGCUUGAGAGAACUCGGGUGAAGGAACUAGGCAAAAUGGUGCCGUAACUUCGGGAGAAGGCACGCUGAUAUGUAGGUGAAGUCCCUCGCGGAUGGAGCUGAAAUCAGUCGAAGAUACCAGCUGGCUGCAACUGUUUAUUAAAAACACAGCACUGUGCAAACACGAAAGUGGACGUAUACGGUGUGACGCCUGCCCGGUGCCGGAAGGUUAAUUGAUGGGGUUAGCGCAAGCGAAGCUCUUGAUCGAAGCCCCGGUAAACGGCGGCCGUAACUAUAACGGUCCUAAGGUAGCGAAAUUCCUUGUCGGGUAAGUUCCGACCUGCACGAAUGGCGUAAUGAUGGCCAGGCUGUCUCCACCCGAGACUCAGUGAAAUUGAACUCGCUGUGAAGAUGCAGUGUACCCGCGGCAAGACGGAAAGACCCCGUGAACCUUUACUAUAGCUUGACACUGAACAUUGAGCCUUGAUGUGUAGGAUAGGUGGGAGGCUUUGAAGUGUGGACGCCAGUCUGCAUGGAGCCGACCUUGAAAUACCACCCUUUAAUGUUUGAUGUUCUAACGUGGACCCGUGAUCCGGGUUGCGGACAGUGUCUGGUGGGUAGUUUGACUGGGGCGGUCUCCUCCUAAAGAGUAACGGAGGAGCACGAAGGUUGGCUAAUCCUGGUCGGACAUCAGGAGGUUAGUGCAAUGGCAUAAGCCAGCUUGACUGCGAGCGUGACGGCGCGAGCAGGUGCGAAAGCAGGUCAUAGUGAUCCGGUGGUUCUGAAUGGAAGGGCCAUCGCUCAACGGAUAAAAGGUACUCCGGGGAUAACAGGCUGAUACCGCCCAAGAGUUCAUAUCGACGGCGGUGUUUGGCACCUCGAUGUCGGCUCAUCACAUCCUGGGGCUGAAGUAGGUCCCAAGGGUAUGGCUGUUCGCCAUUUAAAGUGGUACGCGAGCUGGGUUUAGAACGUCGUGAGACAGUUCGGUCCCUAUCUGCCGUGGGCGCUGGAGAACUGAGGGGGGCUGCUCCUAGUACGAGAGGACCGGAGUGGACGCAUCACUGGUGUUCGGGUUGUCAUGCCAAUGGCACUGCCCGGUAGCUAAAUGCGGAAGAGAUAAGUGCUGAAAGCAUCUAAGCACGAAACUUGCCCCGAGAUGAGUUCUCCCUGACCCUUUAAGGGUCCUGAAGGAACGUUGAAGACGACGACGUUGAUAGGCCGGGUGUGUAAGCGCAGCGAUGCGUUGAGCUAACCGGUACUAAUGAACCGUGAGGCUUAACCUU